rnacentral:snRNA from 2 species
CCCUGGAACGAUACAAAGAAGAUUAGCAUGGCCCUCGCGCAAGGAUGACACGCACAAAAUCGAGAAAUGGUCCAAAUUUUA